UACGAAGGGGGCUAGCGAUGUUCGGCAUCACGGGGCGUAAAGAGCACGUCGGCGGCGCGUUAAGUCAGGGGUGAAAUCCUGGAGCUCAACUCCAGAACUGCCUUUGAUACUGGCGUGCUCGAGUGUGGGAGAGGUUGGUGGAACUCCGAGUGUAGAGGUGAAAUUCGUAGAUAUUCGGAAGAACACCAGUGGCGAAGGCGGCCAACUGGCCCAUUACUGACGCUGAGGUGCGAAAGCGUGGGGAGCAAAUAGG
rnacentral:rRNA from 1 species